rnacentral:lncRNA from 1 species
AAAUUUAAACCCAAAUCAAGAAAAUUACAAUCUCCAAAACCAUAAGAUUAAGAAGAAACAAAGAUAGAAAAAGAAUGAAAUCAGAUUUGAUACAAAAAAUUUUGAUUUGGGAUUUGGGAGUUGAUUGGGUGUUUCAAUCUAGUAGAUUGGGGUUUCAAUUUGGGUUUUAGAUUAGGUGAGAUGAGCAAAGGUUUGAGUUUAAGAUUUGAUAUUUUAGC